rnacentral:rRNA from 1 species
UACGUAGGUGGCGAGCGUUGUCCGGAUUUACUGGGCGUAAAGAGCGCGCAGGCGGUCGUACAAGUCGCGUGUGAAAGCCCCUGGCUCAACUGGGGAGGGUCACGCGAUACUGUUCGACUCGAAGGCAGGAGAGGGAAGUGGAAUUCCCGGUGUAGUGGUGAAAUGCGUAGAUAUCGGGAGGAACACCAGUGGCGAAGGCGACUUCCUGGCCUGUUCUUGACGCUGAGGCGCGAAAGCUAGGGGAGCAACGGG